rnacentral:lncRNA from 1 species
CCGGCGAAGCGGAGCUCCGGGGAAAGGAUUCUUCGGUCAUUGGGCAAGGAAGACAGCGCUAGGCAAGCGCGGUUUUGCCGGGCAGAAGGAUUGGUGAGGUCGAGCGCGUGUCUGGUCGUGUCAAGCGCCAGAUUGGUUGUGGCGACUCGGUAUUGGCGGACAGGAGGGAGGGAGGGGCACUGUAGGCGAGGGCGCUACAGGCAAUGUGACAGGGCGAGCAACGCGACGUGAGCAUGCAUGGACUAGCGGCUCUGCCACGGCACAGGACUGGCGAGGCGGGGGAAAAGGAGUUGUCACUGCCUGCAUGGUGGUUGGCGAAGGCAGUAUCAUUGCGGGGCGCGCGCGUGGGCAGCGCGACUGAGGUAUGGCGGAAAGGCUGCAAGGCGUUGGGGCGCACGGCCGGAGAUCCUGGCGAGGCGAUACG